UACAGGGGGGGCAAGCGUUGUUCGGAAUUACUGGGCGUAAAGGGCUCGUAGGCGGCCAACUAAGUCCGACGUGAAAUCCCCAGGCUUAACCUGGGAACUGCGUCGGAUACUGGAUGGCUUGAAUUCGGGAGAGGGAUGCAGAAUUCCAGGUGUAGCGGUGAAAUGCGUAGAUAUCUGGAGGAAUACCGGUGGCGAAGGCGGCAUCCUGGACCGACAUUGACGCUGAUGAGCGAAAGCUAGGGGAGCAAACAGG
rnacentral:rRNA from 1 species